rnacentral:rRNA from 1 species
GACGAACGCUGGCGGCGUGCUUAACACAUGCAAGUCGAACGAAGAGCGAUGGAAGCUUGCUUCUAUCAAUCUUAGUGGCGAACGGGUGAGUAACGCGUAAUCAACCUGCCCUUCAGAGGGGGACAACAGUUGGAAACGACUGCUAAUACCGCAUACGAUCUAAUCUCGGCAUCGAGGAUAGAUGAAAGGUGGCCUCUACAUGUAAGCUAUCACUGAAGGAGGGGAUUGCGUCUGAUUAGCUAGUUGGAGGGGUAACGGCCCACCAAGGCGAUGAUCAGUAGCCGGUCUGAGAGGAUGAACGGCCACAUUGGGACUGAGACACGGCCCAGACUCCUACGGGAGGCAGCAGUGGGGAAUCUUCCGCAAUGGACGAAAGUCUGACGGAGCAACGCCGCGUGAGUGAUGACGGCCUUCGGGUUGUAAAGCUCUGUUAAUCGGGACGAAAGGCCUUCUUGCGAAUAGUUAGAAGGAUGACGGUACCGGA